ACUCGGGUUGCGCUGCGGGGACCAUCGGCUCCCACGCAGGCCUGCCCUGGGAUGGCGCCGGACACCUGCUUCCUGUCCACAUCGACUCCGCUAAGGACUGGGCGAGCAGGCUCAAGGGAAGCCAAACAGAAUCAGUUUGCCGGAAGAAAAACAGAAAGGGAGCACCUUACAGAGACUAGAAGUGGCCAGCGCUGGCCUCUCCCUUGUGAAAGUUGGUCCCUGGGGCGAGCUGAANGGGUAGAGAUUUCCCUGAGUACUCAAUAAUCAGUAUGUAUGGUAUGGGGUAGCGAGUGUGAGCGCUGGCGUGUGUAUUUGCAUUUCAGGAAGUGGUUGCUUAGGCAGCUGUGAGACUAGCGGUUGGGAUGGAAACUCUCAGAGCAGCCUGUAGUUUUCAGUUUUGCCGUGUGUACUAUGCGCUAUGUGUAAAGCAAAAGCAAAAGUUUAAACAAGGAACUUUUAA
rnacentral:lncRNA from 1 species